UUGAUAAACGUGAUAUCAAAUGCGGCAAGCAUCAUAAUUCUUGAUGACCCGAUUGAAAGAUGAUUACCACUUAUUUGAUACUAAUCAGUUUCUUUACAAUAUGUACUGAAAGUACGGAAGAUUGUCCUGAUCAGAAAUGGCCAAGCUGUAAUGAAAAUUGCAAAGCUACAGAAAAAAAGAGUUGUGAACCGUGCGAAGUCGGUACAUUUGGUGAAAAUUGUUCAGAGUCAUGUCCGCCGGACCGUCACGGAGAUAAAUGUUAUUUUGUGUGUAACUGUACAGAGGGAGAAGUUUGUGAUAGACGGUACGGCUGUGUGGAGAACAGAACGGACGACAUCGCGGGGAUAACUACAUACAAAUACGUACAAGUAACAUCAAAGGAUUCUCUCAGUACAACUGCACCAAAGUCUAAAUAUUCCCAAACGUCAAUCUCUCCUGAAGGUGAAUUUAAAUGCUAUUUACAUACGCCACUUUUCUCAGUAAUACGUAACGUUUCAUGAUAUUUCAAGUACAAUUCACUUGUUUCUACAAAAAAAAUUGGGUUGGACAUUACGAGGUUUAGGGUUUAGAGUCAGCAUAAUUUAAUUCAGAUUCUCUAUUUCCUUAAGCUAUACAACUCAUCGGUUAUAAAUACAAAAUAUUUACAAAUAUAUACAAAUAAGAAGUGGACGGCGAGUAGACACACAGAUCCAUACAAUGUACAUGUACAUCCCAUAAUCCCUGGUUGUGGCAAGUAAAAAUGUAGAAUCAGCUCUUAUAUAGGGCAGAAUGUUAUAUUAAAAAAACACACGCGCGCCAUGUUAAUAUAAACCCAAAUAAUUCGAAGAUAUCUUUAAUUAUUUGAAGAUAACAUCAAUCGCGCUCAAUAAUUGAAUUGAUACGGGUAUCAAAUCAAAUCAAUUACUGUGGAAUUAUUGCUCGCAGAAUUUAAUUUGGAGCUUGAUAUAAAUCAUUUGACGAUCUCGUUAGUUUCAUUGAGGAUAUCUUUAAAUUACUUUCAACGAUUUUAUGUAUGGAAUUAAUGUGCGCCAUGAUUCUUUUAAAGAGAGCAUCAAUUCAAUUAAAGAGAUAAUUAAUUCAAGUGUGUAAAUUGUGAAUUGAAGAUAUCUCUAAUUAGAUAGUCACUCUCUCUAAAAGAAUUAUUGCACACAUCAAUUCAAUUACUGAUACCAUUCAUUCAAUUGAUUAACUGAUUGUAUCUUGUUUAACGUCCCUCUCGAGAAUUUUUCACUCAUAUGGAGACGUCACAAAUACCGGUGAAGGGCUUCAAAUUUAGGCCUAUGCUCGGGGAUUAUGGCCAUUGAGCAGUGAGUGCUCUUUAGCGUGCUACACCUACUGUGACAUGAGACAUCCGUAUUUAACGUCAUCUUGGAACCCCGACCUUCAAUAUGUGGUGCGAACGAUCUACCUCUAGACCACCGCGGCGGUUUCAUUCAACUAAAGAGAACGAUAAUUCAAUUAUUGCGAGCAUUGAUUGAAUCGAGUUAUUGGGGCGGUCCUUCAGAUGAGACCGCAAAAACCCAGGCCCCAUGUCACAGCAGGUGUAACACGAUAAAGAUUCCUUCCUGCUCAAAGGCAGUAAACGCCAAACAUAGGCCUACAUUUUGAAACCCUUCACCGGCAAUUGUGACGUCUCCAUGUGAGUGAAAUAUUCCCGUUAAGCAAUACAACCAGUCAAUCGAAUCGAUGCGUGUAUUAACUGAAUUACUGCUCUCUUAAUUGAAUUACAACAGACACCAAUUCAAUUGUCUAUCGUCUAUUCAUUUGAAGAGAGCAACAAUUCAAGUAUAGCGCGUAUCAGUUCAUCAGAAUAAUUAAUGCUAUCAACAAUUCAAUCAAUGCGCGCAAUGAUAUAAUUAAUCAUUUGAAGAGAUUACUCGAAUGGAUGCUCACAUCAAAUGAAGUGAUGAUAUAUUCAAAUGAUUAAAGAUAUUUUCAGUUAUUUGAGUUUGUUAAUCUGGUGCGCCAUAAGCAACUCUACACCCUGAAG